rnacentral:rRNA from 1 species
GACAGAGGGUGCAAACGUUGUUCGGAAUUACUGGGCGUAAAGGGCGCGUAGGCGGCCUUCUAAGUCAGACGUGAAAUCCCCCGGCUUAACCUGGGAACUGCGUCUGAUACUGGGAGGCUUGAGUAUGGGAGAGGGAUGUAGAAUUCCAGGUGUAGCGGUGAAAUGCGCAGAUAUCAGGAGGAACACCGGUGGCGAAGGCGGUUCUCUGGGCAUGAUCUGACGCUGAGGAGCGAAAGUGUGGGGAGCGAACAGG